AUGCCUUUGUGGCCUGGCUGGGUCCUGUUGAGCGGCUCCUGGCUCAGCUUUGGUGGGAAGAGCCUGGGACAGGCCCUCUCCAGAGUGCCCUGCAACAAGUUCAGGUAUGAGGAAAGAGUACCCUCCUCUUCAGGACUCCCUUGGGGAGUGCUUGUUCUCUGGGAAAGAUUAAGACUGUACUCAUUGUGUGGCUCUUGGCAGGGUGUAUGUGAGGAAGUCCGUCAGAAAGCAUCAGACAUGGAGAUUGUUCGAGAGAUGGGUCAGAGGCUCUUGGAGCUGGUGGCAGGGGAAGAGGCCCAGCUGGUACGGGAGCAGCUAGAGGAGCUGCGGGUGAGGCUGCUGCUGGCUGGGCAGAGCGGGGCCCAUAUCAGACUUCGACUGGAGCAGACUCUGGAGGCAGCCACUCGGCUGCAACCAUCUGGAGAGCCACCACCACCUGCAGCCUGGCUGGGGAGGCUGGAGCAGGCAUGGGCGGCAGCGGAGCCUGGAGAGCAGGAGGACAGAGAGCAGGUGACUGGGGAAGAACAUGCAGAAGCGGCUAGUGACCAGCGUUGCAGGGGAUUGGGAAGAAAGGGAGAAGGCAAUAUGGGGAGACAGAGAAGGUGGCUGGGGAAGGAUAUGUGGGAGGUGGGGUUGGAGGUAGAGUGACCAGCAUAGCAGGGGGCUGAGAAGAAAGGAGAGAGAAAGAAAACAGGACACAGGAAGACAGCCCGUCCUUCCACUCUCUUCUCUUCUCCUUGCCUCAGUUGUGGAAAGCUAUUGCAGAGGAACUGGGCCGCCUGAGCACACUAGGGCAGCGGGUGGAAGAGCUGAAUGGAGUGACCCUGGAGGCUUCAGCACUCCAGACCCAGCUGGGCCAGCACAAGGUAGGCCCUCCCCUCCCCACUGACCAAAAAUCACCUCUAACACUUACUAUAUGUGUGACUUUGGGCAAAACACUUACAUUUCUGGACCUUAAUUUCCUCAUCAGGAAAAUGAGAAUGUUGGCUAGAUGGGCUCUGAGAGGGUCUAGUAGAGCUCUGGCCCUAUAAUCCUGUCAUCUCUUCUACUCCAGGGACAGACAGAUGGGUAGAUGGAGUCAGACAUCACUCCCUGAGCCUGGGGACUGUGAGGGGUCAGAUAGAGGCUUUGGGCAAGUAGAAGCUUCACUUUCCCCAUCUUUAUUCCCCCUACCAAGGGGCAGGACAGGUAAAAUAAGGGAAGAGGAGAGAGCGAACCCCUCCAUUUCUCUGUCCUCUCCAUGACUCUCAUCUGCCUCUUUUAUUCCUUUCCUCUCUCAAACCUGCUUCCCCCUCACACCAGCUAUUGGCUGCUGAACUUCUGCAGCAACAGGAGCUAAGGACCCGCCUCCUAGGACUCUUGAGCACUGGAAUUCCUAGCCUCUGCCCCUCUGAGGAGAGGGAACAACUGCAGGUAAGUGGUGGGGACCCAGGCUGGGGAUGGAGUAGCUGUUCCUGUCUGGGCGUCCUGGUUGCAUGUUUUCUAAGAGUUAAGCCUUGUCUCCAGGGCUCUGGGUCCUGACUUCUCUGGCCUGGAGCAGGGCAUGGUUGGCACUGCCCUUACCCCAAGGCAAUGGCAGCCUGUAGAGGAACCUGCUUCCUGAUGCCCAGUUGGGUCUGUUCCCAUCUCCUCCCACUCCUCCUUCCCC
ensembl:lncRNA